rnacentral:rRNA from 1 species
AACGAACGCUGGCGGCAGGCUUAACACAUGCAAGUCGAGCGCAUCCUUCGGGGUGAGCGGCAGACGGGUGAGUAACGCGUGGGAAUCUACCUUUUGCUACGGAAUAGCUCCGGGAAACUGGAAUUAAUACCGUAUGUGCCCUUAGGGGGAAAGAUUUAUCGGCAAGAGAUGAGCCCGCGUUGGAUUAGCUAGUUGGUGGGGUAAAGGCCUACCAAGGCGACGAUCCAUAGCUGGUCUGAGAGGAUGAUCAGCCACAUUGGGACUGAGACACGGCCCAAACUCCUACGGGAGGCAGCAGUGGGGAAUAUUGGACAAUGGGCGCAAGCCUGAUCCAGCCAUGCCGCGUGAGUGAUGAAGGCCUUAGGGUUGUAAAGCUCUUUCACCGGAGAAGAUAAUGACGGUAUCUGGAGAAGAAGCCCCGGCUAACUUCGUG